rnacentral:rRNA from 1 species
GAUGAACGCCGACAGAAUGCUUAACACAUGCAAGUCAACUUGAAUUUGGGUUUUUAACUUAGGUUUGGGUGGCGGACAGGUGAGUAACGCGUAAAGAACUUGCCUCACAGCUAGGGACAACAUUUGGAAACGAAUGCUAAUACCUAAUAUUAUGAUAAUAGGGCAUCCUAUAAUUAUGAAAGCUAUAAGCGCUGUGAGAGAGCUUUGCGUCCCAUUAGCUAGUUGGAGAGGUAACGGCUCACCAAGGCGAUGAUGGGUAGCCGGCCUGAGAGGGUGAUCGGCCACAAGGGGACUGAGACACGGCCCUUACUCCUACGGGAGGCAGCAUUGGGGAAUAUUGGACAAUGGACCGAGAGUCUGAUCCAGCAAUUCUGUGUGCACGAUGAAGUUUUUCGGAAUGUAAAGUGCUUUCAGUUGGGAAGAAACAAAUGACGGUACCAACAGAAGAAGUGACGGCUAAAUACGUG